ACAGCGGCUCAACAUUCAAACUUCCAUCACGGCUGCAGCUUCUGAGAGGAGAGCAUCUUCUAGGAUCAUGUAGUCGGAGAUUAAAAAGAGUUCUACUUUUUCCUUUCCAACCUGGAAGCCUUUUAUUGCAAUUUCUUAUCUGACUGUACUGUCUGAUAUCUCCAGUGCAAGGUUGAAUAAAAGUAGUGAAAACAGACAUUGUUACUUUGCUACCAAAAUUAUAGGCAAAGCAUUCAGUCUUUUGAAGCUUUCAUGUUUAAGGCCUCAAGGAUGCUGUAGUUACACAAUUCCCAAGACACAGAAUCAUUGGGACAGGAAAGGAAUUCAUUCUACUGUGUCCCCAGAAUAUGAAUCAUGUUGCAAUGUACUGGUAUCGACAGAACCCAGGACUUGGACUGAAGCUAGUCUAUUAUUCACCUGGCACUGGGAGCAUUGAAAAAGGAGAUGUCUCUGAGAGGUAUCAUGUUUCUUGAAAUACUAUAGCAUCUUUUCUCCUGACCCUGAAGUCUGCUAGCACCAACCAGACAUGUGUGUAUCUCUGCGCCAGCAGUUCAUCCACAGCACUGCAUAGCUGCCACAUCCUCUCCACAUAAAAAAAGGUGCAUACCAAAGAGGAAAAGCCUGCCCUCAAAAUUCCUCACCGCAAAUAAGAGAAGUUACCUCACAGGUAUUGACAAAAAGAGCCAAACUCUGUAAAAUAUUUGAAGAGAUUUAUUCUGAGCCAAACAUGAGUGAGCAUGGCCAGAGGCAGAGGCUCAAGGGCCUAAGAACGUGUGUCCAAGGUGGUCAGCCUACAGCUUGGUUUUAUACCUUUUUGGAGACAUCAGACAUCAAUCAAUACAUGUAAGCUGUACAUUGUUUCAAUUUGGAAAGGUGGGACAACUCAAAGAGGGGGCUUCCGGGUCAUAGGUGGAUUCAAAGAUUUUUCAGACUGGCAGUUGGUUGAAAGAGUUAAGUUAUCGUCUAAAGAUUUGAAAUCAAUAUAAAGAAGUAUCUGGGUUGUGGGGACCAAGGUUCUUAUUAUGCAGAUGAAGCCUCCAGGGAGCAGGCUUCAGAGAGAAUAGAUUGUAUUUCUUAAUCAAACUUUUAAAAGGUGCCAGACUCAUAAUUCUCUUCUGGAUCAGGGGAAAAACCUGAAAAGGAAAGAGAAUUAUCUACAGAAUGUAGAUUUCCCUCAUGAUAGACAGCUUUGUAGGGCCGUUUAAAAAUAUGUCGGAAAAUACAUUUUGGGGUAAAAUAUUGAUUUUUUUCAGGGCCUGCUAGGAGUCAUGUUGGUGUCUUAUUGCUACAAAGGGUCUGUUUUGUCACUCAUAAGGUUUCCAUUGUAAUGUUAAUGCUGGUUGGUUGUGCCUGAAUUCUAAAGUGAAGAGGGUAUAAUGAGGCAUGUCUGACCCCACUUCCCACUAAGAACUGAACUGGUUUUUCAUGUUAACUUUGGAAUGCUCUUGGCCAAGAGAAGGGGUCCACACAGUUGGUUGUGGGGCUUAGGAUUUUAUUUUUGGUUCACACAAAAGUAUACCAAUGUCCUCCCCUAGGUUUGAUAUGCCCUGCUUCCCUCUUUCCAUUUUUGUCCUUCUAGGACACCUUUUUGGUUGUUAUUAAACCCUUCAUUUCUUGUCAAUAUCCCACUAGACUAUAGGGCAUCAACACAAUAUGAACACUUGUCUUGGUUUAUUUGUGCUACUAUAGCAAAAUAACUGAGAUUGGAUAAUUUAUAAACAUGAACUUGUCACAGUUCUGUAGGCUCAGAAGCCCAGAACAAAGCACCUCAGGUUCAAUUUCUGGUGAGGGCCUUGGUCUCUGCUUCCAAGAUGGCACCUUGAGUGCUAUGUCAUCACAUGAGAAAAGUGCCUAAGCUGGUUCCCUACCCUUUUAUGAGUCACUAAUCCAUUCAUGAGAGCAGAACCCUCAUGACCUAAUCACUUCCCACCUCUUAAUACUGCCACAAUGGGGAUUACAUUUCAAAAUGAAUUUUAGAAGAAACACAUUCAAACCACAGCACAUUUCUAGACAAACUUUCAGACACAGAUGUAGAGAAAUUUUAAUGAAAUUGAAUUUUAACCAAGUGAAGACAACCCACAGAUUUGCAAAUACCCUUCUAAGAUUCUUCAAAGAUAUCUCAAUGGUUAAUCACGUUGUUUAGGAAAAUGAGAACAGUGACAGCAAGACCUUCUCAGUGGUACAAUGGCCUCAGCAGCAGUAAAAGAGGGUAGUAAACAUUAUGCAGACUUUGUGUGGGCUCUGGAUCACCCACAGAGAAGAAAGUUAUUUUGUAUGUAUGUGUGUAACUGUAUGUUUAAGAGAAAUGAACUGUUUAUUUACAGGGAUUAUUGAGGAGCAGAACCUCACUUGGGUAGAUGCAGGUGUAACUUUUAAGAUCAAUAUCCAUGGCUUUGAAUAGAUAGGCUAGAGAUACAGCAGAUUUACUUAGUUCCCCAAAGAUGCAUGUUGGGUGAUACCCACCUAUAUUAGUUUUCCAAUUACUGCAAAUUCAGUAGGUUAAAGUAACAAUUGUCUUAUCUCACAGUUCUGUAUGUCUGAAGUCCAGGAAAGUAUGGCUGGAUUUUUCUCAGGGUCUUAUAAGGUGGAAAUCAAGGGGUCAGCUGUCUGCAUUUUCAUCAGGAGAUUGGCUACUCCUCCUAGAUUAUUCCUAGUACUGGUAGAAUUUGGUUCCUUGUGACAGCAGGUCUAGGGUCUCCAUUUUUUAUUGGCUGUCAGCUCCUUGCAGUUUCUUUCUGGUCCCCUUGAUCUUCAAAUGCACAUCAAAUCUGUCUCAUGUUUAAAAUCCUGUGAUACCCACUUCUGCUUCAAGACAGAAAACUCUGCAUUUAAAGGGCUCUGGUGAUUAGGUUAGGCCAACCUGAAUAGUAUUUAUUUUGUCAAAUAAUGUAACAUAAUCGCUGGAGUGACAUAUCAUAUUUUUAGGUUCCACUCAUGCUGAAAGUGAAGGACAUUAUACAUGGGCAUGAGUCACUGGAGGUCAUUCUUGGAAUUCUGCCUACCAUACCAAUGGAGAUCAAAUGCCAGGAAAGUCAGGAAUAGAAAUUCAGAGAGCAUACAAUCAAAUAUAUUAAAUUAGAAUUCAAAACUAUUCAAGAGAUGGUUCAGAGUUUUGGCCAAGCAGUGGAUCAAAUUUUCUUACUACUGCUUAAUCAAGGAUACAGUACAGAAGUAAAAUGAAUUGAUCUUUAUUAAAAUGGAGCAAAGACCAGGUCUAGGAAGGAAAGGCAAGAAGGUGGAAUAGAUUUGCUCUUACUGGAAGAACACUGGAGAUUCAAGACAAGAAACAGAAUUGUUUUAGUCCCUGAGUUAACAAAUAAAAGAAAGAUGAGACCAGAACAGUUGUCAAUGAAGGAGCAGUGAAGUAGAAAGGAAGGAUGGAGUGAAUGUGGAGAGCACUUUUCUGAAGAGAAUAAACUUAGUUGUCAGAUGAAAGGAGAUUUAUAAUUAGCUUUGUCCUUACAAAUUUUGAGGUAACUUACCAUGGAAAUACUUUUUCUUAUCAGUUGAUUAAUCUGGGGGGAGGUAGCAUAAUCCUUUGAAAUUCCAGUGCGUAGAAAACUAGGCUCGACCUCAAGAUGAAGCCUCAAAAAAGAAAUGUCUGUUAGAAUCCAGUUAACAGGAGAACACCUACUGCGACUUUAUUAUCAGCAAGUUGGUGAAAACUUCCUGAAGAAGAAAUGUGGGAUGAUACAGAAACUGAUUAAAGUCUCAGAACAGCAAAUAGUUUCUCCUCUUGUGAAUUAAUUCACCUUCCACAAUUAAACAGAGAUAACUCAGGGUACCUCAAAUACUGAUGAGCUUGACAGAAAUGAAUUGCCACCUAAUUCCAUUGAUGGAGAAAGAUAAGACAAUGAGCAAAGAAAAGGGACUUUCAGAGAGAAGAAUUGUUGAGAAGGUAGCAGUCCUUUCUCUUUCCAUGAGGUAGUUGCUAUUCAUUACUCUGUGAUGGGGACUGGGAACACAAGAAUCACCACUUAGGGAUUAAUGAAUUCAAGAUCUGUACCUUCCAUUUUGAUCCAAAUUUGAACUUAAAUUUAUUCAGGACACCAACUGAAUACUUCUACCUAAAGGUAAAACUCAUAUCAUAUUUCCCUCCCAAGCUGCAUUUCCUCUGAGUUCCUGACUUGACGGAGUCAUUUAUUUGUACAAUAUAUGAACGCUGAGAGUUGUGCCACAUUUCUCUCUCUUUUGCCCUGGACAUCCAAUUUUUAUGCAACACUUUCAUUUCUAACUCCUAAAUAUCUUAGUUUACUAUCUCAAUCACUGCAACCACUGACAUGUUUAUGCCCUUUUUACUAGCUUGCCAAAUAAAUAUAAAAGAGCUCAU
rnacentral:lncRNA from 1 species